CCGGCGGCUGCUCCUCCUCGAAUCAUCCUUGCCGGCCGGUCCCGUCCUACCUCCGCGCUCCGUCCACCUCUGCCUCACCCACACCUGCGAAUCGCCGCGCCACCAGGGCCGUCGCCGACGAGAUCCCCGCUCGAGACCUAGGAUUCGCCUCGACCGCCGCCGAGGGCAAUCCCGUCGGAGCUACAACUGCCGGCAACCAAUCGUCUCACCGCAUUGAAGGUUGACCACAACUCGUUGCGAUCUCAGAGCAGGCGACGACGAGGAGGACGAAGGCAAACAAGAUCCAAGCAGAUCCACCAACACUGAAGCGCAUGCUUGACUUGCAAAAGAUAUUCAGAAAGCGAUCGAUUUUACAGCUGUGGGCAGUCGGUUUUGGGGUGUCGCAAACUCGGCAAACAGAAACCGUUGGAAGUACAGUCUGAGUCUUGACUUCCAGCCUAAACAACAAUGUCAGCAAGUGAGGCUUUUGCGAAUCUCUCGGUAUCAGCAGGUUCAGUUAACAGGUGGCCGAGAGUGAGAUGAGUCUGCAGCCUUCUCUUGUCACUGUCAGGUAUUCUCGCCAUGAGGCGCCGGCUGUAUUGUGCAUUCUGGUGUCUAGUCAUGUAAAUGCUUGAGCAGAGAACCCAUGCAGCCAUGUGAAGCUCUGAGCUGAACAUUCAGGGGGCAACGGCAAACCGGGGAAGCUGCUGGUGGAUGCAGUGUGGCUGUCGAGCUCGAGGUUUCUAAAUGUGUUGGUAAAUAAAGGCCAAAAAAGUUGCAGCCUUGUUCUUCUACCUAAUAAAGUUGGCGCCAAAUGGAGUCCACAGCUCGACGGGAACCUCGCUGGCCACGGCGAACGUGCUCGAUAUGGGCACCAGACAAAGCCCCCGGCCCUUCAGUGACACCUCGCCGUGCUUGGACUUGUCAGGACUUGAGUUCUGAAAUGAAACAAAUCAAUUGCACAGACGCAGGCAAAGCCAUCAUCAGCACUAGCUUGAACAGAGUUGGCACAGAUCAUAAGUACAGUGAUCGAUCAGAGUGCUGAAAAGGAGAGCAAGCAUGCAGCAUCCAACACUGGCUAUACCUUCAAGUGGGGCACUUGAUGGGCACCGUUCUUCAAGUAUGGGGCACUAAGAGCCUGCAGAAAAACAAACACAAGACAAUGUGCAGGGAACUUGAUGUACUCGAUGGUCUCAUGGAGCACCGAUGCGGUAUCCGUCUGCAUGCGCACACAUCGAGAAGAAAUAAGAUUGUGUUUAUGUGUUAGAUCGAUCUCGAAAGGAGGAGGAGAUCAAAAAGGAAGAACUCUUUUGCACAGAAGAUGUUGAUGUAUAGUUCCAAGCACUCUUUGUUUGUAAUAUAGUGCACAUUGGCCAUCAAAAGCCUCCCUCACCUUUCCA